rnacentral:rRNA from 1 species
GAUGAACGCUUUCUUCUUUCCUAAUACAUGCAAGUCGAGCGAACAGACGAGGAGCUUGCUCCUCUGACGUUAGCGGCGGACGGGUGAGUAACACGUGGAUAACCUACCUAUAAGACUGGGAUAACUUCGGGAAACCGGAGCUAAUACCGGAUAAUAUAUUGAACCGCAUGGUUCAAUAGUGAAAGACGGUUUUGCUGUCACUUAUAGAUGGAUCCGCGCCGCAUUAGCUAGUUGGUAAGGUACCGGCUUACCAAGGCAACGAUGCGUAGCCGACCUGAGAGGGUGAUCGGCCACACUGGAACCGAGACACGGUCCAGACUCCUACGGGAGGCAGCAGUAGGGAAUCUUCCGCAAUGGGCGAAAGCCUGACGGAGCAACGCCGCGUGAGUGAUGAAGGUCUUCGGAUCGUAAAACUCUGUUAUUAGGGAAGAACAAAUGUGUAAGUAACUAUGCACGUCUUGACGGUACCUAAUCAGAAAGCCACGGCUAACUACGUG